CACAGUUUAGUGGUGUUCUGGGGAGACCUAGAUCCAGGCCAGGGUUUUUUGGACUGUCUCCAACCCACUGCUCAGCUGCAGGUAAUCAGCUGUUGCAGUGGGAAUAAACUCCUCCCGGCUAGGCAGGAAAAAAGAGAGGGAUUGCUGGCUUCCUCCCAGGAAGCAGGUAGGAGAGAGAGAGGCUGUUCUCUCCAGAUAGUCAAGAAGACUGGCUUGGAGCACUGGGAGUGCAGAAAGGAAAGCAGUCAGGGCAAGGCUGGCUUGGAGCACUGGGAGUGCAGAAAGCAAAGCAGUCAGGGCAAGGCUGGCUUGGAGCACUGGGAGUGCAGAAAGGAAUGCAACAGGCUAGGCAGCAGAGUG